ACAGACCUGCAAACUCUUAACAUUUCCACUCAUCAGUUAGCAGCAUCUCUGUCUCUGUCUCUCUCUUUCUCUCUCCCUCUCUCCCUCCCUCCCUCUCCCUCUGUCUCUCUCUCACUCUCUGUCUAUGUCUUUCUGUCUGUCUGUUUUUCUCUGUCUCUGUCCCUCUUUCCCUCCCUCCCUCUUUCUCUGUCUCUCUCUGUCCCUUUCUCUGUCUGUGUCUUUCUGUCUGUCUGUUUUUCUCUCUCUCUGUCUUUUUGUCUGUCUCUCAUUUUCUCUCUCUGUCUCUGUUUGUCUGUCUCCCUCUCUUUCUCUCGGUGUCUCUGUUUCUCUCUCCCCCUCUCCUCCCUAUCUCUCUCUCCUCUCUUGCUCACUCUCUUCCUCUCCCCCCUGUCUCUUUUUCUUUGUCUCUGUCUGUCUCCCUCUCCUCUCUGUAUCUUUGUGUCUCUCUCUCCCCCUCCCUAUCUCUCCUCUUUUUCUUCCUCUCCAUCUUCCUCUCUCUCUUCUUCUUUGUCUCUGUCUCUGUCUCUGUCUCUGUCUCUCUCCCCCUCCCUAGCUCUCUCCUCUCUCGCUCACUCUCUUCCUCUCCCUCCUCUCUCUUUUUCUUUGUCUCUGUCUAUCUUACUGUCUCCCUCUCCAUCUCUCUGUCUCUCUCUCCCCCUCCCUAUAUAUCUCCUCUAUCACUCGAUCUCUUCCUCUCCCUCUCCCUCUCUCUUUUUCUUUGUCUCUGUCUAUCUGACUGUCUCCUUUCUCCUUCUCUCUCUCUGUCUCUCUCUCCCCCUCCCUAUCUCUCUCCUCUCUUUUCCUUUGUCUCUGUCUCUCUUUCUUGCUGUCUCUCUCUCCCCCUCCCUGCCUCUCCUCUCUUUCUUCCUCUCCCCCCUCUCUCUUUUUCUUUGUCUCUGUCUGUCUCUGUCUCUCUCUCUCUCCCCCUCCCUAGCUCUCUCCUCUCUCGCUCACUCUCUUCCUCUUCCUCUGUCUCCCUCUCUCUCUUUUUGUCUGUCUGUCUGUCUGUCUGUCUGUCUGUCUGUCUGUCUGUCUGUCUCCCCACCACUUUGGAAUGGAUUUUACUUAAUAACUCCAGUUACGGGCUCUAUUUUUUCCAGCUAAGAGCCUAACAUGUAUCCUUCCGUGUCAAUAUUCAGAUAAGCCCCCAAUUAUUCUGCUCAUGAAAUGUGACCAAGCUGCCAGCAACAUAACGAAGUCCUCUGGCCAUCACAGCUGGGGAAGUACUUACUGGAUCGGAAGGCUACUCCUCCAGUGGACGGAUGCGGAGCAGAAAACAGCAAACUAAUCAUGGAGAAAAGGAAAUGUCUGUUUUAUUAGAUAUUUAAUUCUACUAAAGUUUCAUUUGUGACUAGAUUAGUCAAAUGAAUUUUAAAGAAUAAGUUACAGAAGAUGUGUGUGUGUUAACCCUUAUCGUCUACCUCAGUAACUCUUAACACCGAAAGGCAAGGGCUAGGCAGACUGGGUGAAGUGACUUGGCCAAGAUCACACAGCUAGGAAGACUGUGAGGUCAGUGUGGUUUUGAGAUGCCCCUCUCUGUCUCUGUCUCACCAUAUGGAGCUAGGUGGGGCAGGCAGCAGUGCCUUUUGGACAGGGGCCUUGCCUGGGGACAGGGGUCAGUAAGAUCCGGGUUUGUGUGAGCUCAGGCGGGGUCUCCGAACAAUUCUUUAAGACCAAGCUCCAGGGGUAUUCCCAAUCUGUAUUGGGAGAGGGAGUUUCCCCGCAAAGAUGAAGUCACAGGUUUGGAACCUUCCCACUCUCCCACCCUUAUUAAGCACACACACACACACACACACACACACACACACACACACACACACACACAGUGCCAUCUUCUAACGGGCCUUAAAGAGCACUGAAAAGAAAAGCAAGCCAGGCGGCUGCUAAAAUGGAUUCGGUGACAGGGACGUGCCCACCCAUUAGAACACUUGAUGGAGGGGAUUUGUGGGGGCGGGGCGGGGAAGAGGCAGGAUCUCCCCCGGAGCUAAGCCCUCCAGUGGCCUGAUGCAGGGGUUCGGGAUCUAGAGCUGGAAAGGCUCCCACAGGUGAUCUAGUCCAACCCACUGGUUUCACAGAUGAGAAAAGUGAGGCGCAGAGAAGUGACUUGCCUGAGAUCACAAAGGGAGUGAGAGGCAGAGGCCGAACUGAGCCCAGGAUCCCGAUUCCAGAGGCAGCCAGCACUCAUCCACGGCAUCCCUCCGCAAGCCAUGUCGGUCCCGCUUCGAGCGGGGGCUCUUGGGGGCCAGCAGCUGCAGGACUAGCCCGCAAGCAGGCCCCCAAGUCUGGGGAAGGAGAGGCGCACUUGAUGCCAGUGGCCGGCCCGGGAUCAGAGGAAUGAAUGAGGCGUCAAUUCCCCCAACGGUAAACUUGCGGGGGAGGGGGGGGGCGGGAGGCGAGGGGCGCGGGGGGAGGAAGUCCAAGGCGGCAGGUUGAGGGUGGUGUGUGGAGAGGGGCACAGGUGAGAAGCUGGAAGGGGCUGAGGGGGAGGGGAAGAGAGCGGGCAGCCACGGGGCACAGGGCGAGGGGGCAGGGGCGUCUGUGUCUACCUGUUUGUGCUGGAGCCUGCGUACCUCAGAUGUAGUCGUUGUCCACGUCUCUGCAGAUGUACCAGAGGAUAACGUAGAGGAUGAGCAGGAUGGCAAAGAGGAACAAAGCCACGAAGAUGGCCUUGGUCACAGGAGACACCACGGAAUGCAUGGCCCUGGUGAGAGAAGGUCACCAGGGAGUGGGGAGGAGGAAAAAGGGGAGGUGUGGCUGCCACCACCAACCCUUAUCCAAGCCCAAAGCUCGACUGCCUAGACUUGGGGGAAACUUAAAUAGUUGCUGGAAAAAGCCCGCCUCCCUCCUUAGGGCGUCUGCGCAGUGCCCAGCUGGGGCGGGGGAGUGUUUAAGGCAUCCCCUUCCCCACGGAGCGCCCCUUGGCUGCUGCCACUCCCCCCCAUGCACUCGAUGUUCCAGCCAAAUCGAUCUCUCUCCAGCCAGUCCGGAACAUGCCCUUUUGCCUUCCUGCCGCCCCCGUCCUCCUGAUCAUUCUCAGACUUGGAACAUAACUCCCUCCUCACCUCCGCCCUUGGAAUCUCUCCUUUCCUUUAAGGCCCAGCUUGGGGCCAUCCAUCUCCCACGGAAAGCCUUUCCUGCCUCCCCGGUGAAGAGUGCCUAGAUCCUGUCACUAGAGUGGGGGGCGGGGGGCGCGAUCAGAGCCUUUCCUCCCCAGAAGCUGGUACAGCGGACCUAGAGGAGGUCCUAGCCCAAGGAACUUCCCUCAUCUUUUAGAAUGAAAGGGUCAGACGAGCUCUAGGCUUCCUUCAAGCCUCCCAUUUGGACUCAGCAAGUCUACAAAUCAACCCAACUCCAUCAAUUUCUAGAGUUCCAUUCUCUUCACUUCCUAGACUAUCCACGUUUGGAAAAUGGAGAAAAAAGGACGUUUGCAGGAACAAAUGAGAAUACUUUGUAAUCCCCGAAGGCUUUAUUUAUCUCUGACACUGGUCUCCCCACCUAAGAUAGAAAGCUGCCAUUUUAACCUUGGGGGGCUACUUUUCAACAGAUACAAAAACUAAGGGAAAUGUCCUUUUGCUGACCUUCUUUGCUUGUGAACCCCAAAAUCGGGAACAGAAAGAAUUUCUAGGAUUUAGAACUGUAAGAAACCUUAGAGAUUGGUUAGUCUACAGCCCUCAUUUAAUUGGGUAAUAAAUUAAAGCUCAGAAAAGGAAAGGGACUUAUC
ensembl:lncRNA